AGUCACACUCAGUGUACUAGUGCUCCUGGUUCCCAUGGUCCUGUCUCCAAGUGGAUCCCCUGUUGUACCUUUCAUCGUUCAAGUCUUCAGUCUUCAUUCCUUCAGCCUGCUUCAGAUUCCAGCCACAGAUCACUACUUCCAUCUGCAGUAAGAGACUUUCCUCAGAUGCAAUACCUAACAUGAGGAUACUGGAAUAAAGGGACAGGACAUCACACAAAUUGAAAAUGAUGUAAACAAACUACAUAUCCCAUGAUGCCUUCUGUUCUGGUUCAUAAAAGCCAUGCUAUCAGGACAGGAUAUCCUGUCUGUAUUGUUUGAACUACAUUUCCUGUACCGUUUGGACUACAUUUCCCAUGAGUCUGAGUGAGGAUCAUCACUUCCGCCCGUUUGCGCAACGUCACUUCCGGGAAUUACAUCUGUUGAACUACACAGGAAACUCAGAAACGGACUUAAUUUCCCAUAAGUCACAGCGGCCAUACACUUCCAGCCAGCGCGAUUAGGUUGCUGUUUAAGCAUUUAAUGCUGUUUAAAAGCGCUGUUUAUAUUAGGAUGUGCAAUACUUCUGAUUUAGUUCACUCAAUUCUGUAUUAAGCUUGUGUUUAGAUUCUUUUUGGAUGAGAUCUAUAUGUUUUUACAAUAAUUGGAUGAUGUCAUUUCCUGCUGUGAUUUUAUUGGCUACUCCUACUUUAAAUAUCUUGCUCCUGCACAAUCCACAUUAUCUUGAUAAAGGUCACAUGACCGAAACGCAUUGAUACUGCCAUCAGGAGUGUGAGUAGCCAGGACUAUUUUUUUAAUAUGUGUAACUUUUUUCAAUUUUAUUUUUUUAUUUUUUUGGAUUUUAUUUAUUCUUCAUCUUUUCUUUGUGGAUGUUUUUUACCGUGGACUAUUCUUUUAAGACUGUUGUAUACAAAUAAAUUUGUGUGGAUACAUGUUACCUUGGUGGAUAAGAGUUGGAAAAAGGGAUAUCUCACUGAUCGCCUAGAAAAGAUACCUUGAUAGGAGCAGCUCUCCAUUUCCAAGUGUGAGUCAGUGUACGAGAUGUAUGUGGUCAUUUCACAUUUAAAGAUACCGUGAUGUGUUUGAUUUCUGCACUGUUCCUGUGAGUGUUGUGGUACGCAU